AGAGUUUGAUCCUGGCUCAAAACGAACGCUGGCGGCGCGUUUUAAGCAUGCAAGUCGAACGGUAGAGAGGUGCUUGCACCUCUUGAGAGUGGCGAACGGGUGAGUAACGCGUAGGUGAUCUACCCUGAAGUUGGGGAUAGCUCAUGGAAACAUGGGGUAAUACCGAAUAAUCUGGCACUUUUUUGGGGUGUUAGGAAAGGACCGUUUGGUCCGUUUUAGGAUGAGCCUGCGUAUGAUUAGCUUGUUGGUGGGGUAAAGGCCUACCAAGGCAACCAUCAUUAGCCGGCCUGAGAGGGUGGACGGCCACAUUGGGACUGAGACACGGCCCAGACUCCUACGGGAGGCAGCAGCUAAGAAUCUUCCGCAAUGGACGAAAGUCUGACGGAGCGACGCCGCGUGUGCGAAGAAUGUCAAGAGAUUGUAAAGCACUUUUAUAGGUGAGGAAUAACCAUACUAUGAAAUGAGUGUGGGAUGACGUUAGCCUAUGAAUAAGCUCCGGCCAAUUACGUGCCAGCAGCCGCGGUAACACGUAAGGAGCGAGCGUUGAUCGGAAUUAUUGGGCGUAAAGGGCACGUACGCGGCCAAGUAAGUCAGAUGUGAAAUCUCGCAACUUAACUGCGUUGGUGCGUUUGACACUGCUUGGCUUGAAUCCCAGAGGGGUAUGUGGAAUUUCUAGUGCACGGCUGAAAUCUGUUGAUAUUACAGGUACACCGCAGGCGAAGCGACAUACUGGCUCGUGAUUGACGCUGAUGUGCGAAAGUGCAGCUAGCAAACAGGUUUAGAUACCCUGGUAGUCUGCACCGUAAACGAUGUACACUAGGCGUUUGGGACAUUAGUCCUGUGUGCCGAAGCUAACGCGUUAAGUGUACCGCCUGGAGAGUAUGCCGGCAACGGUGAAACUCAAAGGAAUUGACGGGGGCCCGCACAAGCGGUGGGGCAUGUGGUUUAAUUCGAUGAUACGCGAGAAACCUUACCAGGGCUUGACAUAUACAGGACGUGUUCAGAGAUGGAUAUUCCCUUCGGGGUUUGUAUACAGGUGCUGCAUGGUUGUCGUCAGCUCGUGCCGUGAGGUGUUGGGUUAAGUCCCGCAACGAGCGCAACCCCUGUUGUAUGUUACCAUUAUUAAGUUGGGGACUCAUGCAAGACUGCCGGUGACAAACCGGAGGAAGGUGGGGAUGACGUCAAAUCAUCAUGGCCCUUAUGUCGUGGGCUACACACGUGCUACAAUGGCCGGUACAAAGUGAUGCGAAGCAGCGAUGUGGAGCAAAACGCAGAAAGCCGGUUUCAGUUCGGAUUGGAGUUUGAAACUUGACUCCAUGAAGGUGGAAUCGCUAGUAAUCGCGCAUCAGCAUGGCGCGGUGAAUACGUUCCCGGGCCUUGUACACACCGCCCGUCACACCACCCGAGUUGGGGGUACCCGAAGUCAUUAGGCUAACCUUUUAGGAGGCCGGUGCCGAAGGUAUGCUUGGUAAGGGGGGUGAAGUCGUAACA
rnacentral:rRNA from 1 species